rnacentral:misc_RNA from 1 species
UGCAAUUGUGUCAUGCUGAUACUGGAGACUGGAGAAAAUGCAUUAACGAGAUGAAUGCUUUUAGAGAAUGUUGGGACAAAUUCAACAACAACCAAAGAAC